rnacentral:lncRNA from 1 species
GAUGAUGAUUUGAUGUGGAUGAUAAUUGAGCUGCGUUGGAUGUUGAUAUUCUAUGAAACAAAUGGGUGAUGAAUUAUGAUUGUGGUUAUGAUACUAAGCAGGGUGUAUGAAUGAAUAUUGUGUGAGAAAGCAUGUUGUGUGAGGUAUUGAGCUCCAGAGUUUUCAUUGUUGUAUGUGUUGUUCACAGGAAAGCAUGAAUGAUAUUGCCUUAAUCUUGAUGAUUGAUUGAAUUGCAUGUGAUUGUCAUAUGAUCAAGGCCAUUUUUGAAAACCCUUCUCUAGCUAAAUUUUUACCCAAAGUGCUUGAAAAUAUUAUACCCUUUUUGAACCUUAUCCUUAAAGAGGAUGUGAACCCUUGUCUUGAAAUUCUUUACCUCGAGUUGGGAUGAGCUUAAUUGUAUGUGAUGAAAAGGUUCAAGUUUGGGGUUGCAUGGGGGAAAUUGAAAGGCAAUUGAAGAGCAUUGAGUUCAAAUGUUGUGAAAGAAAAAUACAUGAGAAAAAGGAAAGAAAAGAAGAAAAGCAUGAAGAUGGGCUCAAUGCAAAAGAAAAAGGGAAAAAGUUAGGAAUAAGUGAGAUUGGUGAGGAAGAGAGUUGUGCUUAAAUGUUGAAUACUAUGGUAGCUCUCUUAACUCAAGGAUUUUGCAUUCCAGAAAAACCAAUUCUUCUUGUUAGUCCAGC